CAGGACUGAGGGUACCCAGGGUAAGCGCUAGCUCAUAUCAUCACCCUUACUGAGCCCCAGGAUCGAGGCCAUCAAGCUACAGAUGGUCUUACAAAUGGAACCCCAAAUGAGCUCAACUCACAACUUCUACUGAGGAACCCUGAACUGACCCACUGGGCCUUUGACUGGCCUAGAGAGUUCCCCACUGGAGGACACUACAACAGCAGGGCCCCUUCUUCACACCCAUCCAGCAGGAAGUAGCUAGAGUGGUCAUCGCCCAGUUCCCAACAGCAGUUGAAGUGCCCUGUUUAGAGGGGACAGUGAGAGGUGAGGCCAGCUGGACUUCCUGGGUCCAGUGGGGACUUGGGGAACUUUCCUGUCUUACAAGAAGAUUGUAAAACACACCAAUCAGCGCUCUGUAAAACGCACGAAUCAGUGCUCUAUAAAACGCACCAAUCGGCAGGAUUCUAAAAGUAGCCAAUCGUGGGGAGGAUUGAAAAAAGGGUAUUCUGAUAGGACAGAAAUGGAACAUGGGAGAGGACAAUAAGGGAAUAAAAGCUGGUCACCCCAGCCAGCAGUGGCAACCCACUCAGGUCCCCUUCCAUGCUGUGGAAGCUUUGUCCUUUCGCUCUUCACAAUAAACCUUGCUACCA
rnacentral:lncRNA from 10 species